rnacentral:rRNA from 1 species
CGGACGGGUGGAGUAACACGUGGGUAACCUACCUAUAAGACUGGGACAACUUCGGGAAACCGGAGCUAAUACCGGAUAAGAUAUCGAACCGCAUGGUUCGAUAGUGAAAGAUGGUUUUGCUAUCACUUAUAGAUGGACCCGCGCCGUAUUAGCUAGUUGGUGAGGUAACGGCUCACCAAGGCAACGAUACGUAGCCGACCUGAGAGGGUGAUCGGCCACACUGGAACUGAGACACGGUCCAGACUCCUACGGGAGGCAGCAGCU